GGAUGGGUGGCCGAGUGGUUUAAGGCAGCGGUCUUGAAAACCGCCGGGCCCGCAAGGGUCCCGUGAGUUCGAAUCUCACCCCAUCCGCCA
rnacentral:tRNA from 1 species